CUCGCAACGGAAAUCUGUAUAUAUUCGAGUUUCAACCCGAAGCCGAGAGGUCACAUAGCGGUGGCACUCGAACUAAACACCAUAACAUCAACAGGUUAAUAGUGGAAGUUGAAAGCAAUCUUCAGAAUCUUUUCCCGGUCACUGAAACAAGUUAAAUCUGUUAAAAGAGUUUGCGGAAACAGAAGAUCUCAAGAAGGAAUGUUCCAUUGGCACCUAGGAAACAGGUGAUCUCAAGGAAGAACCCAUGAUGGAACCCUGGAAACUGGUGAUAUCAUGACAGAACCUAUUUUUGGAACCCAGGAAAUAGGUGGUUUUGAAACUCAUGAAAAACAUAGUGGACCAACAAAGCAGCUUCAUACAUGUAGUGAGUGCAUGAAAACAUUUUCGAAAUCAGGUGACUUGAAGAAACAGAUGCUCUGUCAAAGUGGAAUCAAGACUUAUCAGUGUGCUGAAUGUCGGAAAAAAUUCUCACAAUCAGGUCAUCUGCAGAACCACAUGAGGAUUCACAGUGGAAUCAAGCCUUAUCAGUGCAUUGUAUGUGAGAAAACAUUUAUGCAAUCAGGUCAUCUGCAGAGACACAUUAGGAUUCACACGGGAAUCAAGCCUUAUGGUGUUGA